AGCACAUAAAUAAACACAACUAAUAUGAACUAAUAUACAUAACAGUAAAAGGCAUGUCAAUCUUAAACUUGAAAGAGAAAUAGAUUACUUUCUGAUUGGGAGGAAGGGAUUCAGGGAAGACUUCAUAGAGAAGAUUAUCUCUAAUUUUUGAAAGGAAAGAAACUUUUUUAAAAGGCAGAGAUGAGGAGGAAGUACAUCUCAAUUAUGAUAGAACAUCUGUAUCAAUGCAUGGAGGCAAGAAGUGAAAGAUAUAUGUAAAUAACUAAUAGUCCAUUUUUUGUUUAAUGAAAAAAAGUGUGAAAUGAGGCUGGGAGGACAGAUUAGAGAUAAACUGUAGCCAAAAUGACAGGCAAAGACAGAUGUCUCUGGAGUUAAAACCAAUUCUAUUUACACAAUCCUCAUUCAACAUAAAGUUAUAUUUCAUAAUGCUUGCAAGAUAAUGUGUUUGGAGAUACUCUCAUAAGGCAGUGACCUGAUUGGAAAUGGACCUGGAAAUAUGGAAUGACUGGAAGCCAUACUAGCCUCAGAGGGACUAUACUUCAAAACCCAGUCCUAUCUGGUGAUAACAAAUGUCAUAGGAAAGUAGUUAUACAGUAAGAGAAAAUAAAAUUCUGGACAAGAGCUAGCUUUAGAAAAAUAGACUAAGUAAUCAUGAAUUCUUUCAAAUCAUAUGAUGUAAGUACAUUCAGUACUGAAACAAUUAAAAACUGUCUACUUCACUGGUGAUGUGAUGGGGUAGCAAUAGACUAGCACUUCUGAUUUUCUAUAGGACAACCCCAUUGACCUGAACCAAGUGAGUUUUACAAUCCACUUGUACAGCCACCAUCUGUAAUUGGAAAACCAUCAAACAAGCUGACUUUUAUUCCAUAUAUCUGCUGUGGGAUUCUAUCUUAGGUGGUGGACAUAAUAAGGAUUUAAAACUAAGCAGAGCACAUUUAUUUUAGCAUCUGAAUGAGAAAUUUCUCAUUCAUGCAAAGAGAGCCAUAAUUGUAUUGGGAAAUGAGCAAGUAACAGUCUCUUCAACACUGAAAUAGCCCCUUAGCAAAGCAUCAAGGGACCCUCUGCUAUUGGAAACACUAGGUUUUUAACAAGUAAGAAAAUUAGAGUUCUAAGAAAUGGUAGCUAUUAUAGAACUAGUACUUUUUGCUUAAGUAUAAUAUAAUAUUUUUAUUCCUUAGGCACUAUAGAAUAAUAAAGUAAAAACUUUUAUAGUUGUAUUAAAGACAAUGAGACUUGUGGUUUUGUGACAAAUAAGAUGGAAUAGUAGAUAUUUUCUCCAAUUUUUCCCAACAUUCAAACUCCUCCAAAAUAAGAAUUAUCUUCAUGAAGCUAACUAACAACUUGUUGAAUUAAAAGCAGAAAAUGCUAAUCCCUAACAUAUUCACUCACCAUGGCUUCUCCCACAAACCUCCAUGGUAUGAGAGGGUUGUUUGUGAUCUAGAUAAUCUAUUCAGUAAUUUCCUUGAUGCUACUGUAGUAUAAAUCCUACCUGCCUUCUUCCCCUAGUCCUCACUUUACCAUUGUGAUGCAAUAAGCAACAUGACUCAAUUACUCAGUCCUCCUUUUGAGAAGUGCCCUCUCCCUCACCCCAUCAGCACAGGAAAAGUUGGAUGCAUAGAAAAGCAAAAUCUUGCUGUUUUGGGGACAAAGGUUCGGGGACUCAGCCAGAGAACUAAGAAAUAGAGGAAACUAGAAUAGAGAUCCAGGGUAUUGUGCAUCUCUGCCAAGACUAAAAAAAAAAAAAAAGAGGACAGACAUCGGAGAUGAAACUAUUUUUGUAUCUUUAGAAGUCACUUGAGGUAGAGCUGAGGCUGGUGGAAAAGAAAUUCCCUAGAAUGGGAAGAGAGUGAGGCAGUUUUGAGGUCUAGUCUGUGUAAGAGAGAAUUAACCAUCCAGUAUUAAUCAAUAGAUACCCUCAGAGGUAUCUCUCUUUUACAAGUCCUGUGGGAAAUCACCAUCAUAUGGGAAGAAUUGAGUAAGAGGGUGAUAGAAGAGAGGAAAAAAGACUGAAAUUACAAAAGAUAUAAGGAGAAAGAAAACUCCCUUAAAAACUUCAAACACAACCAGAGGUCAGUCAAAGUAGAGAGAAUUAUAGCAGCAUAGUAUAUGGCACCUUCAUACCACCAUCCAACACAGUGGAAGUAGAAAGCUUCACUUAUGAAGAUAGAAUUAUCUGGCUUAACUAAUUUCAAAUGGAAGCAGGAAUAAUCAAGGGAGAAUUUGUCUCAGAAAAUCAAGGAGGCUAUCAAUAAAAGAUAUAAUGCUGAGAGUCCUGGGAAUUCAUUUAUUCAGCAGAAUCAUAAACCACCUGCAGAUGAAAGUUCAUCAAAGCAACUCAAUUCUUCAACACAGCAAUGGAGAAGACAUCAACAGAAGAAAUCCUAGUCUGUCAUCUAGAGAACUCUUAGGUGUGUAUACUUUUACACACUCUCUACAAACUAUCAUUCAUUUCACUUUGUAUCUCUUCUAGUGUUAAUUUAUCACAUGAAAAGUUUUCCAGAGAUAUGAAAUUAGCAUAUAGCAGUUAUAAACUUUUUAAAGGAUAUUUUUGAGAAACCACCAGUAUAUUUUCAUAUUAUUCCUCUAUGUUUCCAUAUGCAAUAUGAAUACAAUUUCAUUUCAAAAUUUUUGUUCCCCACUUAAGAGUCAGCAUGAUCUAAUGAAGAAUCUUUUAAUCUUCUUUGUCCAUGUACCUAGAGGUGACUCAAUAUUCAUCAGACUUCAUGUAAAGUCACCAAACUAAUAAAAUCUUUAAAAAUAAAU